UACAGAGGGUGCGAGCGUUAAUCGGAAUUACUGGGCGUAAAGCGAACGUAGGCGGUGUUCCAUGUCAGAGGUGAAAGCCUGGGGCUCAACUCCAGAAUUGCCUUUGAAACGGGAACGCUUGAGUCCGAGAGAGGGUGGCGGAAUUCCUAGUGUAGAGGUGAAAUUCGUAGAUAUUAGGAAGAACACCAGUGGCGAAGGCGGCCACCUGGCUCGGUACUGACGCUCAGGUUCGAAAGCGUGGGGAGCAAACAGG
rnacentral:rRNA from 1 species